rnacentral:rRNA from 1 species
GAUGAACGCUGGCGGCGUGCCUAAUACAUGCAAGUCGAGCGAACAGACGAGGAGCUUGCUCCUCUGACGUUAGCGGCGGACGGGUGAGUAACACGUGGAUAACCUACCUAUAAGACUGGGAUAACUUCGGGAAACCGGAGCUAAUACCGGAUAAUAUAUUUAACCGCAUGGUUCAAUAGUGAAAGACGGUUUUGCUGUCACUUAUAGAUGGAUCCGCGCCGCAUUAGCUAGUUGGUAAGGUAACGGCUUACCAAGGCAACGAUGCGUAGCCGACCUGAGAGGGUGAUCGGCCACACUGGAAAUGAGACACGGUCCAGACUCCUAAGGGAGGCAGCAGUAGGGAAUCUUCCGCAAUGGGCGAAAGCUUGACGGAGCAACGCCGCGUGAGUGAUGAAGGUCUUCGGAUCGUAAAACUCUGUUAUUAGGGAAGAACAAAUGUGUAAGUAACUAUGCACGUCUUGACGGUACCUAAUCAGAAAGCCACGGCUAACUACGUG